rnacentral:rRNA from 1 species
UACGUAGGUGGCAAGCGUUGUCCGGAUUUACUGGGCGUAAAGAGCGCGCAGGCGGUCGUUCAAGUCGCGUGUGAAAGCCCCCGGCUCAACUGGGGAGGGUCACGCGAUACUGAUCGACUCGAAGGCAGGAGAGGGUAGUGGAAUUCCCGGUGUAGUGGUGAAAUGCGUAGAUAUCGGGAGGAACACCAGUGGCGAAGGCGGCUUCCUGGACCGACACUGACGCUGAGGCGCGAAAGCAUGGGGAGCGAACGGG